CCUGGCACCCCAGAAUCCCCUGGACUCCAGCAUCUCUACCCUCCUGGAGACCCCACAGAGGCCAUUGUCCUGCCUCCAGGGCUCCUGGGCUCUGGAGCUCUGUCCAGCCUCCUGCCCCGAUGUUUCUGAAGAAGCCGUUCAGCUGUGGGGCCCACCCGCCACAGCCCCUCUCUGGACGCCUCCCCGGCCCAGCCAAGCAUGUUCUUCAGGUCCCCGGAUGACAAAUGGUUGAGAAACAACGCCGAAGCCGGCCCUACCACACACCGAGCCCCCAGGAUGCCGGGCUCUGAGUGCCCUGGCUCCCUGUCCCCAGACCCAGAAGCGGUGCCUGGGAAACACGAGGCACUCGUCAAGCGCUGCCGGGCUGGAUACAUGGCGGCGGGCUGCGGAAAUGCCCAGAGGAUCCCUACCUCUCCGAGCACAAGAGGAAGCAUCAGCAAGCACGGAGGCUCAGAGGAGUCAUGUGUUGGAGGAAGAGGAAGAAGGCCGGGGUGGGGCCGUUGUGGUAAGGGAAGGGCAAGAAACCUAGCCAGAUGGACCAAAGAAAAAGAGAGAAGACGUGUUUUACCAAAGAGUACAGUGAUGGAUGAGUUGUGUGUCAGCUGCUCGUUGCUGCAAUGAAGUGCCUGAGGUAAGUGACCUGUAAAGAGGAAAUGUGUGUUAUGUCUCAUGGUUCUGGAGUGAGAGCCAAGACUGGGGCCCCUGGUCCUGGCCCUCUGGUGAGA
rnacentral:lncRNA from 1 species